rnacentral:rRNA from 1 species
UACGUAGGGUGCGAGCGUUGCCCGGAUUUACUGGGCGUAAAGAGCGCGCAGGCGGUCGUUCAAGUCGAGUGUGAAAGCCCCCGGCUCAACUGGGGAGGGUCACUCGAUACUGAUCGGCUCGAAGGCAGGAGAGGGAAGCGGAAUUCCCGGUGUAGUGGUGAAAUGCGUAGAUAUCGGGAGGAACACCAGUGGCGAAGGCGGCUUUCUGGCCUGCUCUUGACGCUGAGGCGCGAAAGCUAGGGUAGCAAACGGG